rnacentral:rRNA from 1 species
UACGUAGGGUGCGAGCGUUAAUCGGAAUUACUGGGCGUAAAGCGUGCGCAGGCGGAUCGUUAAGCAAGAUGUGAAAUCCCCGGGCUUAACCUGGGAAUGGCAUUUUGAACUGGCAAUCUAGAGUGUGUCAGAGGGGGGUAGAAUUCCACGUGUAGCAGUGAAAUGCGUAGAGAUGUGGAGGAAUACCGAUGGCGAAGGCAGCCCCCUGGGAUAACACUGACGCUCAUGUACGAAAGCGUGGGUAGCAAACAGG